AAUUGAAUACUAGAAAUAGGUUGAUUUAUGGAAUUUUUUUAAUAGCUUCAUAGAUCAUUAAAAGGGAAGUCCGGUGAGAUGCCGGCGCGGUCCCGCCACUGUAAUUGGGAGUUUCUAUUCUAUACCACUGUCUUUGGACGGGAAGGUAAUAGUAAACGUUGAUCAAGAGCCAGGAGACCUGCCUGUUUUGGAGUCAUUCA
rnacentral:ncRNA from 1 species